rnacentral:rRNA from 1 species
GAUGAACGCUGGCGGCGUGCCUAAUACAUGCAAGUCGAGCGAACGGACGAGAAGCUUGCUUCUCUGAUGUUAGCGGCGGACGGGUGACUAACACGUGGAUAACCUACCUAUAAGACUGGGAUAACUUCGGGAAACCGGAGCUAAUACCGGAUAAUAUUUUGAACCGCAUGGUUCAAAAGUGAAAGACGGUCUUGCUGUCACUUAUAGAUGGAUCCGCGCUGCAUUAGCUAGUUGGUAAGGUAACGGCUUACCAAGGCAACGAUGCAUAGCCGACCUGAGAGGGUGAUCGGACACAAUGGAACUGAGACACGGUCCAGACUCCUACGGGAGGCAGCAGUAGGGAAUCUUCCGCAAUGGGCGAAAGCCUGACGGAGCAACGCCGCGUGAGUGAUGAAGGUCUUCGGAUCGUAAAACUCUGUUAUUAGGGAAGAACAUAUGUGUAAGUAACUGUGCACAUCUUGACGGUACCUAAUCAGAAAGCCACGGCUAACUACGUG